CUGAUUACGCGGAAACAAACAUAAACUCAACUUGUCUAAAGAUUAGUAUGAAACAAAGCAUCUCCUGGACUGGAUCUCGCUUCUGGAACAAAUGGGGUCCAACACUUCGCAUCCCAACUCAACUACAUUCGCCAUGCAUGCCGCCGCAUAUCAGAAACGUCGUGAACAACUUGAUCUAGCCACGGAGGCGAAGAAGCAAGAAAUUCUGCAGGAUGAACAAGAAGAAAUUGACGAGUGGGACAAUCGUGCUAGGAAUCUGAAACAAAUCCUAAACAAAUAAGUAGUAGUAAUGAUUAGCAAAUUUAUGGAAAUACAAUUAAAUAAGUAUUCAAGUAUUUUGUAAAAUAUUGAAAAUGAGGGAGCACAAAAACUCGAUCAAAACAAAGUCAAAUUGCUUUUACGAAAUUGUACUAAAUAUUUAAAUACUCCGUGCAUGCAUAAAUAUUAUUACUAUAUAGUGAUUAUUAUUAGUGAUUUCUCUGUUUUGUAAACAAACAUGCAAGAUGAAUACUUUAUGUGAAUACUAAGGGGAUCACAGAUCCAAUUACAAACCGGGUGUAAUUGGUGACCCGGGCAAUUUUUUUUCGGCUAUGCACAAUCAGAAUAAUUUAAUAACAGGCGUUAAACCAAUGCCAUAAUUACGGAAGCUUGUUAAAUUUUGAAACCUUGGGCUCAAGACGAUUAUGUAGAAAUAGAGUAUUUACAUUAUUUGCUUCUCUUCGGACUAAUAAAUUAUGUAAUUUGGUUAUCAUGCAUGCUUGGUAAUGCAGAUCAA